rnacentral:rRNA from 1 species
UACGAAGGGGGCUAGCGUUGCUCGGAAUCACUGGGCGUAAAGCGCACGUAGGCGGAUUGUUAAGUCAGGGGUGAAAUCCUGGAGCUCAACUCCAGAACUGCCUUUGAUACUGGCGAUCUUGAGUCCGGGAGAGGUGAGUGGAACUGCGAGUGUAGAGGUGAAAUUCGUAGAUAUUCGCAAGAACACCGGUGGCGAAGGCGGCCUGCUGGGCAGUUGCUGACACUGAGGCGCGACAGCGUGGGGAGCAAACAGG